rnacentral:rRNA from 1 species
CCUACGGGAGGCUGCAGUGGGGAAUAUUGCACAAUGGGGGAAACCCUGAUGCAGCGACGCCGCGUGAGUGAGGAAGUAUUUCGGUAUGUAAAGCUCUAUCAGCAGGGAAGAACAUGACGGUACCUGACUAAGAAGCCCCGGCUAAUUACGUGCCAGCAGCCGCGGUAAUACGUAGGGGGCAAGCUUUAUCCGGAUUUACUGGGUGGAAAGGGAGCGUAGACGGUUAAUCAAGUCAGAAGUGAAAACCCAGGGCUCAACCUUGGGACUGCUUUUGAAACUGAGUAGCUAGAGUGCGGGAGAGGUAAGCGGAAUUCCUAGUGAAGCGGUGAAAUGCGUAGAUAUCACGAAGAACUCCGAUGGCGAAGGCAGCUUACUAAACUGCCACUGACAUUGAUGCACGAAAGUGUGGGUAGCAAACAGGAUUAGAUACCCCGGUAGUC